rnacentral:lncRNA from 10 species
UGUUCUCAGAAAUUUUUAUUUUGGAAAAUAUAGCUUAUAAAGUUGCAGUUUGUUAACACAUAAUAAUGGGUUAUUGUGAAACCAAUUAAUAAUUUUAAAGCUUUGCACUUUAUAUUUCAAAUAAACAUUGAUAGAUGCAACCCACAUAAAUAACAGCUCCUUGAAGUCCUCAGUUUUUAAGGUUGUAAAGAGGGAUCUGAGACCAAAAUGCUCCAUAGACCAACUGUAAGCACUCUUACUUCAUUACAAAGUAGAAAAAAGUGUGCUUGGAGCAUUUAAAGACCACAACUGCAAGAUGUACAGUUAAGAAAAAUCAGGCCAGGUGUGGUGGCUCAUGCUUGUAAUCCUAACACUUUGGGAGGCCAAGGCAGCAGGAUCACUUGAGCUCAGGAGUUCGAGACCAGCCUGGGCAACCUGGUGGGACCUUGUUUCUAUUAAAGAAAUAAAGAAAAGAAGAAAAAUCAAAUGGAAAGGAAAAGUAGGAUUUCAUAGUUCAUAAUUCAGUUAUUUAAAAUGACAUUUAAAGAACAGGAAACAAAACCCACUUUUGCCCUUCAGGGCUUCAAAUCCCUGGGAAGGUAAACCUUCAAUUGGCCAUGUGCUGAUCUGCCGCCCAUUGGGGUAAGCAAGCCCAGAGAAAGGGCUGCGGUAGCUACUCAUGGCUCCACGGGAACAAUGUAUUAGGCAACGCUGCCAUUUAAUAAAGGAAGACACACAAGAAUUAAGGUCACAGGCUGGGCAGGAUGGCUCACAACUAUAAUCCCAGCACUUCGGGAGGCUGAGGCAGACUAAUUGCUUGAGCCCACGUGUUCAAGGCCAGCCUGGGCAAAACAGGGAGAUCCUGUCUACUAAAAUUAAAAAUUUAGCCAGGUGUGUGGCACACACCGGUAGUCCCAACUACUUGGGAGGCUCUUGUGUAAGGAUUGCUUGCACCCGAGAAGUUGGGGCUGCAAUGAGCCAUGAUUGUGCCACUGCACUCCAGCUUGGGUGACAGAGCAAGACCCUAUUUCAACAACAAAAAAAGGAAUUAAGGUCAUAGUGAGUUAAAAAAUCCUUUCAUGGAUUUCAUUUAGUCUUUAUAUCUGAUUGCUCAUCUGGGUAUUAGAAGAAUAGCAAGAUCAGUCAACAAAACUGCAAGUCAAUCAAUUAAAAAACUGAUCUCUAUAGCUUGUAAAAGUGGAGAACAUUCUAAUGAGAAUUGUGUGGCAAAUCCUAUACCAAGAGCUCACUUUAAUAGCUCUCUGCCUCACAUCUAAACUAAUGUGGUAAGAAACGACUCAAUACAUUCACAGAACAAUUCAUUUACAAUUUCCUUGACAGUUAAAAAAAAAAAAGUGGAGUUAAAUUCAUGCAGCUAGUAAAACCCCUUAAUUAGAAACCAACUUACGAGUCUCUCAGGCUUUCUUUACUAUACUCUGGUUUCAGGAAUAAAACAGGAACACAAACUUUUGAAUUUGCUGUGUAAAUUGACAUGGGAAGUGUUUAGCACAGCGACUGGCACAAAUAAAGUUGCUGAUAUGUAAGCAUUUACAUAAAGAAUGGGAGGCAGAAAAACAUGCACUGCACAUAUGUCAGUGCUGGUGGACCUCACUCAUCAUUUAUUUAAUUAUCCAACAUUUCAAGACUUAAGUUCAUUUUGGAAAAAAUGAGGGCCUAGAGAGGUCAGGUAAAUUCUCAAGGUCAUGCAGAUGGUGGGUGAUUGAAAUGGGCUUCCCAGCACAUGGUCUUUCCACAAUGCAGUCAGGGCUGUCUUCAGGAGAGCUGAAAUACACAGCAUUUACCUCAGAAAUCCAUUUAAUAUAAGGUGUGCUCCAUGCUUAGUAUAGAUUUAGCUGUAUUUCCUAAUGUCUCAGCUAGGAAACUAUACCACCGUGCUUUAUCUUCAAAAUGAGACACUGCAAAGUUCAGAAAGAUGGCAAAUUCUUUAAUUCAUCUGCCAAAAAGAAAAACUGUUUCAUAAAUAUUUGAGAGAAAAAAAGUACUAACCCUUCCCUCCAAAUGUAACUAUGGCCUCAACUUGCUAGUGAUUACCCUCAAACCAAUAGUAUUAUGGUUAUCAUUCAGGCAAUUAAAAAAAGGAAACACCUAACCAAAGUACUAUUUAAAAACAGUGUAUAUGGUUCUCGAAGACAUCAGAGAAGUGGGGGAAAAAAAAAAAACCCUAGAGGGAAGGAAACAAAAAUGAAUCUGGAGUGGCCGUGUAGACUCACCACACAUAAAUUGCUGGAACAGUAUCAACCUUCCCCUCACACCAUUAGGCAGAAUACAAAAUUGAUACAAGCAAAAAAACUCUGGUUGAAGAACGAAAGGGUAUAGGAUGGGCUGAAGGAAACCCAAUAAUGAAAGAAAGGAAGAGUAUUUUCUCCCCAACUCCAAAUGAUUUGGGGGUAUUUGUGCCUUUCUUCAAGUAUAACUUAGUAACCCCUUCGGAGACAAAUCAUUAAACUGGACAGACAUUCAGUGAGACAACUGUUGUUUUUCUCUUUCACGGGCUCUGAAAGAAAAAUACUGAUAAGAAACUAUAAGUUGAAGUUCAAAAAAAAAAAAGAUAUAAUGUAGGAGGGCAUGAUACAGAAAAUGCUUUAGAGGUCAAUCUGAUUAGAGAAAGAAUUAAAACACAAAGGUUCAGAUAAACAUU